UCUGGACCUCAGUGUCUUUGAAAUGGAGAGGAAGAUGUAAUGUAUGUAAAGGUGUGGCAUCUUGUGGACUUUCAGAAAGUGGGGUCCAGCGUGAGAGUCCUGAGAAGCCUCCCCAGGGGGGCCCUGUGUGGGCUGUGGAUAGUGAGGCCUGAACACAGGUCUGGAGUUCAGAGGACUGCUGAGUCUGAGGCUGGGAUACUGGGCUUCGAAUUCCAGCUUGUCCUCCAGCCAACCACAUGUUCACAUCCACUGCCCUCUCUGCCCCUACGUUUUCUCGUUAAACAUGCAUCACAUCUUUGCUUACCUCAGUGUGGCCACAAGUAUCGGUUAGUCAAGUAUGGGAAGGAAUCUUCUGGAGUGCACAGGGCUCUCUCUAGGACAAUCCUCUCACCUUGGAUUGGGGGGAGUGCCUACACCCGGAAGUAGGGAAAUAUGGGGAAUCAUAGUAGGUGAUCAGAAAUUAGGACCAAUGUGUAUGCCUGGGAAGGAAGCAGAAAGCGUAUCACCCUGUGUGUGUUGCCUGCCUCCUGCCACCCAGUGCUAUGAUCUGCUUGAGUAGUGUCACUGCCGUCUGUCAGCAGCUCUGAAAUAUACGGCCUUAUUCUGUCCUCUUCCCUGUAUUUAUACCUAGUUAGCAAGGUUUGGCAGGGAGGUGAAUCUUCAGGGGUGGUUGCUGGCAGCAGGCCAUAUAUGGUUCUUUAAAACUGCAUUUUGUCCUUAGCCUUUGCUUCUUACAUUUACAUAAAAAAAAAAAAACUUGUAUGGGGCACCUCCUGUCCACCCAGCACUUGACAUAAUACUGUCUCACUCAGACCUCACUUUAAGCUUAUCACAGUAGGCAUAGGCCAUCUUAUAGAUGAUACUCAGAGAGUGUAUUAGGAGUUUUUGGUGCCAAGAGAUGGAAUCCACAACUCAAAUCUGGCUUAAGAGUAAAAAAGGGAGUUCAGUGGCUCAUGUACCUGCAAAGCUCGGUGGGAGGUCAGGUUCCAGGCUAAGCUAUUUUCAGGUCUCAGAUCAUCUCCACAGGGCGGGACCUGCUUUCCCGUUUCACUCUCUGACUUCCUUUACAGAGCUCCCCACCCCACCCCACCCCACCCCACCCCACUCCACAGGAACUGGCCUUUCCUAGUGGUCCCAGAAAGAGAAUUUGGAUCAUGUGCCCAGCCAUGACCCAAUCCUUACAUGCCCAGAAGUUUGGAAGACUCUGACAGGCCAGUUGUGUCAUGUACCCCAGCCCUGACCCAAUCCCCCUGCCCAAGAGCUUGGAAGGCUCUGUUUAGUCAGGUUGGACGAUGAGCCCAGCCCUGCAGGUGGGUUCAGGUCCGGGAAACCCAAAGACUGAGAAUGGCAUGUUCUGUUCCUAAAGAGCCCAUUAGGACACUGCUGGGGGAGAGUGUUUACGAUGGUGGCGGUCCUAGACCAGGUUAGGUGGCCUGACUGGCAUUACAUGGUGGGCACAGCGCAGAUGUCAGCCUGAGGCUGGCUUUCAAAGGCCUGCCAUUCUUGCUACUCAGGGCUCAACCCUCAGCCCCAGUACACAUUACAAUCAGGGCUAGAAACAAAGUAAAUUAUGAGACCCGGUCCACACCCUGAACAAAAUUAGAUGUUGUAGCUAACGUGGAGUGUGGGCAUCAGUAUUUCUCAAAAGCUCCCGAAGUGAUUGUAUUGUGCAGCCCGAAUCAAGAACCAGUGAAUCAGGCUGGCCCUCCACCCCCUCACUGUAUGCCGUAGGUCACUCAACGUUGCAAGCGCAACCACUGUCAAAGGAGGGCUCAGAGUGCAGACAACCAGCAGUUGCCUAAUUGGUGGUGCACACUUUACAAGAGUGAGAAACACCCGGCCUGGGGCGAGUGGCACUCUUCCUCACCGCCUGCCGUGGCAGCCCAGCCAGGACCCUGGGCUGGAAGCAGGCUUGCUGUGGAAACAGCGGGCACCCAAGCCACCAGCAUCCCCUGUUCCUCUUCUAAGACAAAGGGAAAACAUCUCAAAAGCACCUCUGCGUGGCAGAAGAGGAGCCGACGCUGUUGCUGCACGUGCCGGGCGCUGCCUCUACAGCAGAGCAAACUGAGGCUCCCAGAGGCUCUGUGACCUGCCCGAGGGCUCACGGGAGCCAGCCCCUGGCACUGAGUCCCGACUCAGCUUGCUGAGGCCCCAGUCUUCGGUCUCUGCCCAGUGAGAGCCUACAGCUCCUUAACAAUCCGCGGCCCGUCUCCUGCUCCCCCACCCCACACCCCUUGUUUCAGAACUGUGUUUGGCUUCACUACACACGACUGCUUAUGGAGUCCUGCUUGCCUCCGUGACACAAGCCAAAAACCAAGAGCCUCCAUCUCAUACGUGUGUCCCUUCCAGGGCUUCUGUCUGUGCCACAUCUUCUUCCCAACAGUCCACUUGGCCACUUCACUCUGGUUUUCAGCAAGAUCCUUUAUUUAUUUGUCUCCUGUUUCCCCCACUGCGUCCAUGAGUACAGGUAGCCAGGUACCUCUACGGGCUGCUGGCUUUGUAAACGUGGAGUGGUCAGUGUGUACAGAAAUCAUGCACCUCAGUGAUUCUUUAACAAGAUACUCAGUGAGCAAAAAGACUUCAGGUGGGUUUGAGAUUUCUACCCUUUGCUGCAUUCUCAUCGCUGAAAAAUACCUGUGUAGAAAUUUUGCUCACAUGUAGACCCGUUUUCCUUUGCAGACUGGCUAGUGCCUGCUAGUGCGUCUCACGCUGUGUCUACUCCUGUGGGUGCUUCCUCACAGAGGCUGCUGCCUUCCACUCGGAUACAAACGCUGGACCUGUACGUGUGACGUGCUGGACACUCACACUGCCCCAUGGCUUUAGAAAUCCGACAUUGCUCAGGACACAUCUGAGACAAGCAUCUCUAGUAUGGCUGGAGGCUCCUCUCUCACACAUAGGCUAACAGGAGGCUGCUUCUAGAAUUAGUGCCUCGAACCAGCCACAUCCCUCACAGGAGACCGGAAAGCCAGCACUGUGCCGGGGGUCCUCUGGGCUGGCCAGCCCCGGCGCUGGCACUCAUGGACAGCCUCCUGCAACGACACACACAGGACUGGCUCCUCCACCAUCUCUGAGUCCCCUGCUUGAGCAUUUAUGUACAAAUAAACACAAAGUCAUAAGCAACAGAACCCCAAAGCAAAAUGGACACUUUGGUCAGAUCUACAAUCCAAGUUUUGGCCAGAGACAGGCUCUCCCAGGAAUCACCUGGUGAGGCCCCAUCCCACCACAGCUCCUCCUGUCAGCCAGCCUGGCGGUCUCGACGUUCAUCACCGUGGAUGCGAAACAGCUCACCGGGGAAUAUUCCAGGCCCGGUUUGGCAGUAGGACUUCUGUAGGCAGUGAGGUAAGUGAAUCGCAUGUUCUGCGACUGACCCGUGGGAGCCCCAGCUCGGCUCCUGAGGACACUAGCCUCAGCUUUGAAGGAUGGCAGUGUUUACAGAAGAGCCUCCAGUCCCACCAGCCAAAUGCUCAUCGCCCUCAGGAACCUGCCAGGGUGUAGGGGGAGGUGAGCAGUGGGGACAAGUCCCCCAAGGCCCUGACACUGGGUGCUGGGUGCUGCCCCUGCCUGCGUCCAUCCUGCCAAGGAAGUCGGCCGGGUGCGGGGAUGGUGGCCGUCCCCUGCCCUGAGGUGGCUGAAGGGUCCCCCUGUUGGACUGUGACAACAGUGGAGACCAAGCUCUCCAGCUCUCUGGUUUGCAGUUUUUUGUAUUUGUUUUUCUCUUUUAAAAGGAGUUGCAUGUUACCACGUUCAGACAAAUAACCAUUUGGUUACUCAAUUUCAGAGCACUGAAAAGACCAGGUAGCAACCUGACGCAGACAAUGGGGGGCACCGGGCCUCUGGUCGCCGAGCCAAGGAAUGCGUUAUCAGGCAGGAAGGAACUGCGGAAGCAAAUGACGGGAAGGGAAAAGAAAAAUCUAAGGAAAUACAAGCUGAAAUUUUCCCGUUUACAAUAACCAAAGGGAAGAGGGACUCAAUGUGAUAGAAAAAUCCCGAAUGAGAGCUUUCUGCUGAGGCAGGUCUCUGGACAUGGAGUCUGGGUCUGGACUGUACCCAUCUUCCCUGGCUGGCCCACGGCCCCUCUUGCCGACUGCAGCAUGGGAAAAGGUUGUCAUCGUCCCGGAGCAAAGAUGAAAUCCAGGGCCUGCCGUUCAGCUGCUGCCACAUUUGGAUGCCACAGAUCCACCAUGAAAACCACCCGUGGGCCAUCCUCUGCUGAACCUGGGAAGGGGAGCACGAGAGGACAGGUCUGAGCCACCCCAGAGCCAGGAUCACGCAGGGCUGGACACCACGUGGUUAGCUUCUGUCCCUUGGCACAGAUGGGAAUCAAGAAUGUUAUCAUGAUUUCAUUAUGAUUCUGAGCAGAGUGCGUAAAAGGAACUGGGUGGCAGUGGGGUGGGGUGGUGGCGAAUGAGGAGGGGGCCAAGCCCGGUGGGAUCUGCCCCAGUACCCACUUAGGGCAGUGAAGCAGAUUCCAUAUGAUCCUGUGAUGGUGGAUACAUGACUUUACAUAUUCGUCAAAAUCAACAGAAUGUACUCCACCAACGUGAACCCUAAUGUAAUGUAUGGUCUCUAGUUAAUAAUAACGCGUCAGUAUGGCUCAUCAAUUAGAACAAAUGUACCACUCUAAUGCAAGACGUUAAUGAAAGGGGAAAUUGUGUGUGGAGGUGAUGUGCACUUUCUGCUCCGUUUCUCUGGAAACCUAAAACUCCUCUAAAGAAGAAAGUCUGUAAUUUAAACCAAAAAGGCGGCGAAGGGGAAGGCUGAC